rnacentral:rRNA from 1 species
UACGUAGGGGGCAAGCGUUGUCCGGAAUUAUUGGGCGUAAAGAGCGUGUAGGCGGUCCGGUAAGUCAGCUGUGAAAGUCAAGGGCUCAACCCUUGAAAGCCGGUUGAUACUGUCGGGCUAGAGUCCGGAAGAGGCGAGUGGAAUUCCCGGUGUAGCGGUGAAAUGCGCAGAUAUCAGGAAGAACACCCGUGGCGAAGGCGGCUCUCUGGGACGGUACUGACGCUGAGACGCGAAAGCGUGGGGAGCGAACAGG